rnacentral:rRNA from 1 species
CUACGUGCCAGCAGCCGCGGUAAUACGGAGGGUGCGAGCGUUAAUCGGAAUAACUGGGCGUAAAGGGCACGCAGGCGGUGACUUAAGUGAGGUGUGAAAGCCCCGGGCUUAACCUGGGAACUGCAUCUGAUACUGGGUGACUAGAGUAGGUGAGAGGGAAGUAGAAUUCCAGGUGUAGCGGUGAAAUGCGUAGAGAUCUGGAGGAAUACCGAUGGCGAAGGCAGCUUCCUGGCAUCAUACUGACACUGAGGUUCGAAAGCGUGGGUAGCAAACAGGAUUAGAUACCCUGGUAGUCCACGCCGUAAACGAUGUCUACCAGUCGUUGGGUCUCUUGAAGACUUAGUGACGCAGUUAACGCGAUAAGUAGACCGCCUGGGGAGUACGGCCGCAAGGUUAAAACUCAAAUGAAUUGACGGGGGCCCGCACAAGCGGUGGAGCAUGUGGUUUAAUUCGAUGCAACGCGAAGAACCUUACC